GGUGUCUCGCUCGCACUAGUGCAGCGAGUGUUCCUCGUGCGUUCCCUUUCUUGCUACCACACAAAAUCGUCAGUACAGUUCAAGCCUUCGCAGCGUGAGGCCGCGCGCGUUUUAGCCUAAGUCCCGGGCGCUCGAUGUAAUUUGAAUAUUCAACAUACACAACAUACAGGCAGUAAGGCGGGUGCUUGAAGUGACGAUUUUUUUAUUAUUUAUAAUAAAAAAUAUGUGUGGUUUUGUGGCAAGAUUGUGGUUAGCGAUGUGUGGAACUGUGCCUUAAGUUUCAAUAAAGUGUUAAAAUAUCAACCGA